rnacentral:rRNA from 1 species
GUGCCAGCAGCCGCGGUAAUACGGAGGGUGCAAGCGUUAUCCGGAUUUAUUGGGUUUAAAGGGUCCGUAGGCGGACUCGUAAGUCAGUGGUGAAAUCUCAUAGCUUAACUAUGAAACUGCCAUUGAUACUGCGGGUCUUGAGUAAGGUAGAGGUAGCUGGAAUAAGUAGUGUAGCGGUGAAAUGCAUAGAUAUUACUUAGAACACCAAUUGCGAAGGCAGGUUACCAUGUCUUAACUGACGCUGAUGGACGAAAGCGUGGGGAGCGAACAGGAUUAGAAACCCGAGUAGUCC